rnacentral:tRNA from 1 species
GCAGGAGUACCCAAGCGGUCAAAGGGGCCAGACUCAAGAUCUGGUGACUUAGUGUCUUCGCAGGUUCGAAUCCUGUCUCCUGCA